rnacentral:rRNA from 1 species
AACGAACGCUGGCGGCAUGCCUAACACAUGCAAGUCGAACGAAGGCUUCGGCCUUAGUGGCGCACGGGUGCGUAACGCGUGGGAAUCUGCCCUUGGGUUCGGAAUAACAGCGGGAAACUGCUGCUAAUACCGGAUGAUGACGUAAGUCCAAAGAUUUAUCGCCCAAGGAUGAGCCCGCGUAGGAUUAGCUAGUUGGUGGGGUAAAGGCCCACCAAGGCGACGAUCCUUAGCUGGUCUGAGAGGAUGAUCAGCCACACUGGGACUGAGACACGGCCCAGACUCCUACGGGAGGCAGCAGUGGGGAAUAUUGGACGAUGGGCGAAAGCCUGAUCCAGCAAUGCCGCGUGAGUGAUGAAGGCCUUAGGGUUGUAAAGCUCUUUUACCCGGGAUGAUAAUGACAGUACCGGGAGAAUAAGCUCCGGCUAACUCCGUG